AGGCAGCAGUGGGGAAUAUUGGACAAUGGGGGCAACCCUGAUCCAGCCAUGCCGCGUGAGUGAAGAAGGCCUUAGGGUUGUAAAGCUCUUUCGACGGGGAAGAUGAUGACGGUACCCGUAGAAGAAGCCCCGGCUAACUCC
rnacentral:rRNA from 1 species